rnacentral:rRNA from 1 species
UACGAAGGGGGCUAGCGUUGCUCGGAAUCACUGGGCGUAAAGCGCACGUAGGCGGCUUCUAAGUCAGGGGUGAAAUCCUGGAGCUCAACUCCAGAACUGCCUUUGAUACUGGAGGGCUUGAGUCCGGGAGAGGUGAGUGGAACUCCGAGUGUAGAGGUGAAAUUCGUAGAUAUUCGGAAGAACACCAGUGGCGAAGGCGGCUCACUGGCCCGGUACUGACGCUGAUGUGCGAAAGCGUGGGGAGCAAACAGGG